GGGCCCGCACAAGCAGUGGAGUAUGUGGUUUAAUUCGAAGCAACGCGAAGAACCUUACCAGGGCUUGACAUCCCGUGCAUAGCGCAGAGAUGCGUGAAACCCUUCGGGGCACGGAGACAGGUGGUGCAUGGUUGUCGUCAGCUCGUGUCGUGAGAUGUUGGGUUAAGUCCCGCAACGAGCGCAACCCUUGCUGUCAGUUACCAUCAUUAAGUUGGGGACUCUGGCAGGACUGCCGGUGACAAAUCGGAGGAAGGUGGGGACGACGUCAAAUCAUCAUGCCCCUUAUGUCCUGGGCUACACACGUACUACAAUGGCUAUAACAGAGGGAUGCAAAGAGGCAACUCGGAGCGAAACCCCAAAAAUAGUCCCAGUUCGGAUUGUGGGCUGCAACCGCCCACAUGAAGUCGGAAUUGCUAGUAAUGGCAGGUCAGCAUACUG
rnacentral:rRNA from 1 species